GUCGCGGCAUUAGGAAGGUUGAGAACCACUACACCAGAGCAAAGUGAGCCUGGAGCAAGUUACUGUUGAGGUGGGGGAUGGAUGGAAAGCAAAGGUGAGCGACAUGAGUAAAAUCAGAGUGUCUAGGAAAAAUUAAAGAGAAGAUAUCCUAAAACUU